UACGUAGGGGGCAAGCGUUGUCCGGAUUUAUUGGGCGUAAAGAGCGUGUAGGCGGCCACACAGGUCAGCUGUGAAAACUCGAGGCUCAACCUCGAGACGUCGGUUGAAACCGUAUGGCUAGAGUCCGGAAGAGGAGAGUGGAAUUCCCGGUGUAGCGGUGAAAUGCGUAGAUAUCGUAAGGAAGACCAGUGGCGAAGGCGGGUCUCUGGGCCGAUACUGACGCUGAG
rnacentral:rRNA from 1 species